rnacentral:ncRNA from 1 species
GUCCUGCCACACUGUGAGGUGUGGAUUAGCAUUGGGUGAAUUGCAAGGAAGUCUUCCCAUAAUAAAUUAUUUUAAGACCGGCCACACCUUUGGUGUGACUGGCCAGGGCCCUGCGGGCCCAGACCUUUGGAGUUUAAAGUUUAGCUAAAUAUUUAUCUUAGUUGUUAGACAAAAAUGGUCACGAAGUAUUUAUUAUGAAAGAUAAUUUGCAGCUAAGCUUAAAUCAGUGUAUUUGUAUAAAUAGAUAAAUCUGUAUAUGCGAAUUUGUUUUAAGAAAGUUCAACGACUAAUCGGUGAGUUACACUAACAAUAAUCCGGACACGAGUGCCCAACAUCUGCUCCUGUAAGGAUUGACAGUUGAUGACAUAGUCUAAACUCAAUAGAAAUAUUGAG